rnacentral:rRNA from 1 species
GACAGAGGCCUCAAGCGUUAGGCGGAAUCACUGGGCUUAAAGCGUGUGUAGGCGGAUCGUUAAGUGCCUUGUGAAAUCCCACGGCUUAACUGUGGAACGGCUGGGCAUACUGGCGGUCUUGAGCCAUCUAGGGGCGACUGGAACAAACGGUGGAGCGGUGAAAUGCGCAGAUAUCAGGAGGAACACCGGUGGCGAAGGCGGGUCUCUGGGCCGAUACUGACGCUGGAGGAGCGAAAGCGUGGGGAGCGAACAGG